GGGUACGCCAUCCUCCAUUGGAUCCAGGCUAGCUUCUCGGAUUCACCGAGCAGAUUUUCGAUAAAUUCCAUUUUUGCUUGGGAAUCUGUGAAUCCUUGGAGUGAGACUAAAUUCUUAGUUAUUGUCUCCCAUCUCAUAAAAACUUCAUCAAACAUCCCUAAUUGUGUAGGGAUAAUGAACAUGGCUCCCUGUUGUUGAAAUGCUGAGGGUAGGUUCCAUGCUUCAGAAAAAUCUUUUGUUUUGAAUUUGGCUUGCCUAGUGUAUCCUUCAAAGGUAGGCUUCUGGAUUGUUGACUCUAUGUUAAUUGCGGGGGGGUAGUUUGCUGACCCCAUAGUAGAGUCUGUAGGUGGUCUGUAGUUUGAUACGGCAGAGGAGGAAUAUACUUAUUGGGAGAGUUUGGCUAAUUGUGGGUAUUCCACUUCCAAAUUUUCCUCAAGUCUUGCUGCUAUAAUUUCUUCUUGAAAUUUUUGGGGACAUGACAUCUCCCCACCACCUUCUGAAGCGUCAAUAUCCUUCAAAUAAAAAUUCAGGUUAUUCCGCAAGCCUUCCGCCUCAUUGUCUUUGCUGCCCGAUGUUUGUAUUAUGACAGUUAUUGUGUGGCUCCAGAUUUCUUCCUCGUCGCUGAACGUCUCGUCAUCAGCGGUAUUGUCGUUGAUCCGGCUUGAUGUAGAUGCAGCUUUAUAAUUGUCGAAGCUGACAGAUAUCCUUCCAUCUAAUAAAUUUUGGCUUCGUGCUUCUGAUGGUUGCAUUGGUAUUGAGACUUGAGUUGGUCGAAUGACCCAGUCUCUUCCUUGUAUAUCUGUUAUAGAGUACCUCCUCCUUGGUAGUGCCCUUACACCGUGGCUGGUGAGGUAGUCCACCACCCCUGAUACUUCGUACGCAAAGGCAACAUUCGGAGUAUUUGAAAGUCGCCCUACCAUUCCUCGGGUGACAAGCAAAUUAGCUUCACCGUUUCGCCAUGUGUCAUAUCCUCUAGUGAGGAUUGAGAGUUGAAUAUUGCGGUAAAAGUCCCCUAUUGUCAUCAUGAUGUCGGGGAUUACGUAGACUAGCUGGCUCCCUCGAGUCAAGUCUACUUCCAUGGUGGCAAUGAUGGACCGAUCAUCCAUCCAUCUGUUGUCCCUGAACACUAGUAGUGCUAGUGUCCCUUCUUCCUGUCGAUGCAGGGUUUGUAGCCGUACCUGGAGUGUUCCCAAGUGGAUAUACUGCAUUCUACUCCUUUGAAGCCUUUCGUAACUUUCCUCCAUGAUGAAGGAUCUGUCCUCCUGGUUGUUUGUAACCAGCAUGGCCUCUUCAGACCUGUGAAUGUAUACCCUGUGAUGGGCAUCGUCCCUUCUUGAGUGGUAUAGCACCUCAGCUGUGAUAGAAGAUAAGAUUUCCUCAACUAUAUGAGGAAAUCUUAUCUAUUCUGUUGAGGAAAAUCCUCUAUUCUAUUGAGGAAAAUUCUCUCUCCUAAUCUCUAUAAAUAGGAGAGGGGACAUGCUAAUGCAUUUAAGCUAAAGCUUUGCUUGCCUAGAGCAAGCUCUCUUCUCGCUGCCAACUUAUCACUAUUGCUUCUUCAUCUCUGACGGCAAAAGAAAAAGCUUUCUACCAUUGCUUUUCCAUCGUCAGCCCAUCGGUGCGACAAAUCUUUCCUCUUCGGCGAAUGACAAUUGUCUUCUCCACUACCACUCUGCUCCAAUGUCUGUUCCCUUCAUCUGCGGUGUCUCUAGUGCUGUGCUCACCAGCAUUGCCCCACCUUUCUUCCUCGCUGUAGCUACCUCCUACCUCUUUUGCUGCAGCUUCCUCCUCUGCUGCACCUUCCUCCUAUGUUGCAGCUUCCUCCUUUGUUGUAGUAGCAUCACUGCAACAUUACUAUAGAUUUCUCCUCUGCCAUCAUCGCAGCUGUCGCAGCCACAACCGUCGCCAUCGCAGCCACAACCAUCAUCGUCAAAACUAUAGCAACAACAAUAGCAGCAGCAAUAUGCUCUUGCCCUACUCAUGAAGCCUCUCGCUUGUAAACCAUAUUUUGCAUCGAUCCAAGAUUGAUAUCCUUGUCAGGAGCACCAUCUUGCGGGGGCAUGAUAGAAGAUAAGAUUUCCUCAACUAUAUGAGGAAAUCUUAUCUAUUCUGUUGAGAAAAAUCCUCUAUUCUAUUGAGGAAAAUUCUCCCUCCUAAUCUCUAUAAAUAGGAGAGGGGACAUGCUAAUGCAUUUAAGCUAAAGCUACUUCACUUCUUUAAUAAAGCUUCUUCAAUUAUUGUUCUUAUCUUCUAUUAUUUCUAUCAAGCUGGUGCUAUAGUAGAUCUUUCGCGCAUAGAUAACCUUAGUUGUGCCUGAGGGUCUAUCUGCUGUUCUAGGACAUGUUGGGUGGAGACUGAACCUCCAAAUAAUCUUUGUCCUGCACGUCUUGUUGCCUAGCGAGCGUUAAAGAUCCUGCGUUGAUUUCUUCUGUAAUCUCAGAUUUGAUCUUCGAUCAAGGGGCAGAUGUGGAGACUUCUUGAGUCCUGGUCGUCAUUUCUGGACUUGUUUCAGAAUUUGUAUAGGAUCUUUGAACACCAAAAUUUUUCCUUUUGCCUCUUUAGGUCUUUCUGAGGGACCUAGGCUUAAAUUGGAGAGCUUUGCUAUCAAAUCUUCUGGGAUGUUCUGGGGUGGUUCUGUCUUAGCUUGCUGAAGCUCCCUUAUAGUUUGUAGUUCUGUUCGUAUCCCCUUUAUAUCCUCAGCGAUCUGUGUGAGGAGUUGGAUUUGUGUGUUGUGCUGUUUAAUCACAGCUGCUUGGUGGCUAAGGGUCCCCGGGUAAUCGUUUGUUUUGAGAAAUCCUAAAGAUGGGGGAUCAAUAGGUUCUGUGGCCUUGAGGGCUUCUUUGUAGGAUUCGGUGUUUUUGGAGAACAGAUAGUUCAUCCAAAAAUUUGUUUUUCUAUUCUUGAUAAAAGUUGUUCAACCCUCUGCAGCUUUUGAUUUAAGCUUUGUGUUAGUCUGAGAGCCUCUUCUUCCACAAGUUUUGGUUGCUUGGAAAUUUCUGCAACCAAAUCUCGCACUUCUUGUUUCGUGAGGGGUCUAUUUUCCGAGAGUAAGGCAGUGAGAGUUUUUAUGGAGUGCUUGAGUCCUUUGAUUUCCCUUUCUAAACUCUGAUUUUUCUCAAUAAUAGCCUUGAAGUUUUUUAAAUUGACUCUACUAAACAGGCAGGUUCUGUCGUAAAUAACCGCAAGAUUAUGGGCUAGCUCAUUUCUGGUGGGACUAUGGGUUUCCGCAAGGUCAAGGUAGUCAAGCUUUGAAGUAUGAGAACUAGUGUACCAUUGCUGUAUGGCUUCUUCCCAUUUUUCAGACAUAUAUACUUUUAGACUUUCAUAACCUGGUUUUCCUUAUCCUUUCUAGAUUUUAGUCGUCUCACCUUGUCGGUGUUCCUACGGGUCUCCCUGCCCUUUUAACACCUUACGUCUUUUGAUCGACUUACUUUUAGAUCAGAUAAGUACUUCCUCAAGGUUAAUUAAGACUUCAAGUCCAGUGGGCUUAUUAGGUCCACUGGACAACCGAGAAAGUAAUUUUGGAACCAUGUAAAGGAUUUUUAAUUAAGAUAUUUUCUCUGUACUUAGUACCAUGUUACAAAGAAAAAAUGGGCUUAUCGGAUAAACGAUGCCGCAUGGCGGAAUCCUUGGAGUAGACCAGCUGAUUUGUAAGAGGAUAAGCCCAGUUUUUCUUUAUAACAUGGUACCAAGUACAUAGUACCAAAGAAAUUAAGACUUCACCUUUCCAAAUUAAGAUAUUUUCUUUGUGGCCUAAGUACUUUGUUUUGAAUUUGGCUUGUCCAUAGAUUGUUGACCAUGUAUGUAAGUCUACUUUGUAAGUAGACUUGACUCGAGGGAGCCAGCUGGUCCAUCAUUACCAUCAUUGCCAUCAUUGCCACAAGGAACAAAGUACUUAGCUGAUUUGCACUCGGCCUGACUUGAUAACAGGCCGAGUGCAGCCACAUUUGGAGGAUAAACGAGGAACUACCGGCAAGACUGGAAACGUGCAACUGUGUAAAAGAAUCUCAUAGCAAAGGCACAGACGACAUUGCCCGCUGUGUGAAAUCACCUCGUGCGGGAUGUGCAGUAUCUACUACUUCAACAAAAAGACUCCUGUAGCACUGGAGGAACCAGUCAAGUAUGAACCCAAAAAUCUCCUCCAACAACAGCAGGAUUAUAUUAACCAUUGUGAGACAGAGAUAAAGAAACCGAAAGCCACAGUGGAAGCAGAAAAAGAAAAAGCAAAGGAAAUUGAGGAAGCCCAUCAACAAGCCAUUACAAUUGCCCAGGAAAACCUCCAGCUAAAACGUGAAGUAGAAGAGCUGAAAAGGAAAUACCGAGAGCUGGAACAAGAAAAUAUGGAACUUGACAGGCUCCGCAUGGAAAAGGCAGACUUACAAAAGGAGAUCAAUCUCCUAAAUCAAAAGGAAAAGGUUGAAAAGGAAAGCACCUAUGUCUUACUAAUGGAGGAAAAUCAGCAAAUACUAUCAGCCGAGACGAAAGAAUCCGCCAAACCAGAAAAAGCAAAGAAUAUGCUAUUCAACCUUAAGGUACAACUUGAAAUACCCAAUACUCCUAUAAUCAAAGUAAAUGCCAUUCUAGACACAGGGGCCACCACAUGCUGCAUAGAUGAAGGUGCGAUACCUAGGGAAGCACUGGAAAAGAAUCCCUACCUGGUACAUUUCAGCGGGAUUACAUCAAAGACAACAGCAUAUAAGAAAUUGAGAAGAGGAAGAAUGAUGAUAGGUGACAACUCCUUCAGAAUCCCAUACACAUAUGCGUUCCCUAUGAAAUUAGGGGAUGACAUACAGAUGAUAAUCGGGUGCAAUUUCAUCCGCGCCAUGCAAGGAGGAGUCAGGAUUGAAGGAAAUACGGUAACCUUCUAUAAGAACCUGACCACUAUUAACACCCUCCCAUAUGUUCUAGUUACAGCUGCAAUAGAAGAACUGGAACUAGAAGAAGAAGACUACAUCCAAAUUCAGGAGCUGGUUCUAUACUCAACCGAACCUCAAAUGGACGAAAACAUACUCAUAGCAUAGUUUGGAAGCCUGAUCGAAAAAUUAAAGGCCCAAGGGUACAUUGGUGAAAAUCCUCUUCAACACUAGAAGAAAAACGGGUUGAUGUGUGAACUGGAAAUCAAAAACCCAAACCUUACAAUAGAGGACAAGCCAUUAAAGCACCUCACGCCUCAGGCCAGAGAAUCCUUCUCUAAACAUGUCAAAGCACUUCUCGACAUUGGCGUGAUCAGACCAAGCAAAAGCAGGCAUAGGACAACAGCAAUCAUAGUCAACUCUGGCACAACAGUAGACCCAGUCAUUGGCCAGGAAAAAAGGGGAAAGGAAAGAAUGGUCUUUAACUACAGAAGACUAAAUGAUCUCACUGAAAAAGACCAUUACAGCCUACCAGGGAUAAACACCAUACUAAGAAAGGUCAGCUACAACAAGAUAUACUCCAAGUUUGACCUAAAAUCUGGAUUUCAUCAAGUAGCAAUGCACCCGGACUCAAUAGAAUGGAUGACUUUCUGGGUACCAGAUGGACUAUAUGAAUGGCUGGCAAUGCCAUUUGGGCUCAAAAAUGCCCCCAUAAUAUUUCAGAGAAAAAUGGAUGACUGCUUCAAAGGUACGGAACAAUUUAUAGCAGUCUAUAUAGACGACAUCCUAGUAUUCUCUGAAAAUACGAAGGACCAUGCUAGGCAUCUUCAUAAAAUGCUAGAAAUUUAUGCCUAUGCUAGCGGAAAAUUCAGCCCCAUCAAAUCAGCCAUUGACGCAGAAUUACACGCAGUCCUAAAAACUCUCGAAGCCCUAAAGAUCUACUAUCUGGACAAAAGAGAGAUCCUGAUAAGAACGGACUGCCAAACCAUAAUCAGCUUUUUCAACAAAUCGGCUCAAAAUAAACCAUCAAGAGUCCGAUGGAUGACAUUCAUUGAUUAUAUCACCGGAAGUGGGGUUGAAGUCCAAUUCGAACACAUCGAAGGGACAAGUAACAUCCUCGCCGACUCCUUAUCUAGAUUAAUCAACAUUCUUUUAAAUGCAGGAUGGAGGGAAGAACAAAAGGACCAACUAUCACUAUUGGCGGAAGCAACCCAAGAACUUAAGGCCAAGCCCAACCCAAAGGCGGAAGCCUUUCUGAAUCAAAUAGCCUGCAAAAUAAUAACCUCCUAUUCCAGUACACCGAUAAGCUCACCUGCCUUCAAAAGGGAAAGAAAAGGUUACUUAAUGAUGAAGACUCCACAAAGAGGACACUCGGAAUCCUACAACAAAAGGCAGCAGAACAAGCAAUCAAUGCCUUGCAGCAAUACAGAGACAUCCACUCACUAUCACUAUUGGCGGAAGCAACCCAAGAACUCAAGGCCAAGCCCAACCCAAAGGCGGAAGCCUUUCUGAAUCAAAUAGCUUGCAAAAUAAUAACCUCCUAUUCCAGUACACCGAUAAGCUCACCUGCCUUCAAAAGGGAAAGAAAAGGUUACUUAAUGACGAAGGCUCCACAAAGAGGACAUUCGGAAUCCUACAACAGAAGGCAGCAGAACAAGCAAUCAAUGCCUUGCAGCAAUACAAAGACAUCCACUCACUUAAAGUGGAAGAGUACCGGCGGCAAAGCUCAGGGAAAGACAACUGGUACAAAGACUGGCUACCAGAUGUCCUCCAACAACAACAAUAGCUGGAGAGAGCGUUGGGGCUUACAAAAGACACCGCCCAAAGGACGCCAAACUUCAGCAUCUAGGGACACGGUGGACCCCUAAAUAUGCUGAAAUCAUGCAAACCACCGCCACCUAACGCAAUAAGUUAGAAAGUCAUGGGCUGAGCCUCGGGGAGCCGCUCGACAAGAUAAGCUGGCACGCAGUAUAGAGCGUACCUUCACUACUUAGCAGCUAAGUAGCACUUUUGAGCUGUGCCUCGGGGAGCCACUCAAAAUUUAAAUAAUUGUACCCGAGCGAAUAUAAAAGAGAAAGCGAGAAGAACACGAUGGGGCCCAAUGAGUACCCGGUUCUAUCCGCCUCUUCUAUAUAAACCUCUUAGUAGUUCUCUUGCAGAACAGCAGUCGAACACUGAAGUUUUACUUGAGCAAAAAUCCCCUGGAUCUUUGUAAGAAUCUUUUGCUUUCUCUAGUUCCUUGUGCAAAUCAGUUCUUUGUUAUCCUUUUGCAAAUCAGUGUUUUGGUUGUCCAGUUUUUCAAUCAUAUCUUUUGCUCUCCGGUUUAUCUUUUAGUUUUACUUUAAAAUUAGGAGAAACACUGAUUUGGAAGACUACUGUUUUGGACCAUGCUAGGCAUCUUCAUAAAAUAAUUUGAAGGACCAUGCUAGGCAUCUUCAAAAAUGGGCUUAAUAAAAUAAUUUUAAGCAUUGGCUUAAUACUAAUAAUCCUGAAAGUAAUUUUUCAUACGAAGGACCAUGCUAGGCAUCUUCAUAAAAUACGAAGGACCGUCCUAGUAUUCUCUGAUACCAUAAAAGUAAUUUUUCUUACCAUAAAGAAAAACUGGACGACCGAUAAAGUAGUUUUUCUUACCAUAAAAAAAAACUGGACAACCGAUACCAUAAGCUAGAAAGAAAAACUAUAUGCUCAUACCAUAAAGUAAAACUAGAAAGAAGAACUAUAAAGUAAAACUAGAAAGAAAAACUAUAAAGUAAAACAAGAAAGAAAAACUGGACAACCAAAACACUGAUUUGCAAAAGGAUAACAAAGAACUGAUUUGCACAAGGAACUAGAGAAAGCAAAAGAUUCUUACAAAGAUCUAGGGGAUUUUUGCUCAAGUAGAACUUCAGUGUUCGACUGCCUGUUCUGCAAGAGAACUACUAAGAGGUUUAUAUAGAAGAGGCGGAUAGAACCGGGUACUCAUUGGGCCCCAUCGCGUUCUUCUCGCUUUCUCUUUUAUAUUCCCUCGGGUACAAUUAUUUAAAUUUUGAGCGGCUCCCCGAGGCACAGCUCAAAAGUGCUACUUAGCUGCUAAGUAGUGAAGGUACGCCCUAUACUGCGUGCCAGCUUAUCUUGUCGGGCGGCUCCCCGAGGCUCAGCCCAUGACUUUCUAAUUUAUUACGUUAGGUGGCGGUGGUUUGCAUGAUUUCAGCAUAUUUAGGGGUCCACCGUGUCCCUAGAUGCUGAAGUUUGGUGUCCUUUGGGCGGUGUCUUUUGUAAGCGCCAGGGCUCUCUCCAACUGUUGUUGUUGUUGGAGGACAGCUGGUAGCUAGUCUCUGUACCGGUUGUCUUUCCCUGAGCUUCGCCGCCGGUACUCUUCCACUUUAAGUGAGUGGAUGUCUCUGUAUUGCUACAAGGCAUCGAUUGCUUGUUCUGCUGCCUUCUGUUGUAAGAUUCCGAGUGUCCUCUUUGUGGAGUCUUCAUCAUUAAGUAACCUUUUCUUUCCCUUUUGAAGGCAGGUGAGCUUAUCGGUGUACUAGAAUAGGAGGUUAUUAUUUAGCAGGCUAUUUGAUUCAGAAAGGCUUCUGCCUUUGGGUUGGGCUUGGCCUUGAGUUCUUGGGUUGCUUCCGCCAAUAGUGAUAGUUGGUCCUUUUGUUCUUCCUUCCAUCCUGCAUUUAAAAGAAUGUUGAUUAAUCUAAAUAAGGAGUCGGCGAGGAUGUUACUUGUUCCUUCGAUGUGUUCGAAUUGGACUUCAAUCCCACUUCCGGUGAUAUAAUCAAUGAAUGUCAUCCAUCAGACUCUUGAUGGUUUAUUUUGAGCUGAUUUGUUGAAAAAGCUGAUUAUGGCUUGGCAGUCCGUUCUUAUCAGGAUCUCUCUUUUGUCCAGAUAGUAUAUCUUUAGGGCUUCGAGAGUUUUCAGGACUGCGUGUAAUUCUGCGUCAAUGGCUGAUUUGAUGGGGCUGAAUUUUUCGCUAGCAUAGGCACAUAUUCUUUCUGUGCUCCUUGGAUCUCCUUUUUUAUUUUUCCAUUUACACACUCCUCCCCAUCCUUCCAUACAUCCAUCAACUUCUAGAACUAUGUAGCAAUCUAGGGGUGGUACUUCUAGAUCAGGAAGCCUUUGGACUUUGCUUUUGACUUCCUUGAUAAGCUUCCAGUCCUGUUCAUUGAGUCUCUUUUCUCCUGUUGGACUUGUUUUCGAGUAGAGAGGCCCUAGGAGUUUGCCGAGAUUUGGAAUAUAAUUCCUGGCAUAGUUUAGAAUCCCCAGCCAAGACCUUAAACCCCUUUUAGUUGUUAGGUCUUCUUCUUUGAACUCAGUAAUUUUUUUUAUUAUGUGGGGCUGUAGCUUAAUCCUUGAGUUUCCUAAUACUGCCCCUAGGAAUUCUAUUUCUUUGACUGCAAUCUUCAUUUUUGUCGGGCUUAAUACUAAUCUAUUUUUUUUACAGAUUUCUAGCAUUUUAUGAAGAUGCCUAGCAUGGUCCUUCGUAUUUUCAGAGAAUACUAGGAUGUCGUCUAUAUAGACUGCUAUAAAUUAUUUCGUACCUUUGAAGCAGUCAUCCAUUUUUCUCUGAAAUAUUACGGGGGCAUUUUUGAGCCCAAAUGGCAUUGCCAGCCAUUCAUAUAGUCCAUCUGGUACCCAGAAAGUCAUCCAUUCUAUUGAGUCCGGGUGCAUUGCUACCUGAUGGAAUCCGGAUUUUAGGUCAAACUUGGAGUAUAUCUUGCUGUUGCUGACCUUUCUUAGUAUGGUGUUUAUCCCUGGUAGGUUGUACUGGUCUUUUUCAGUGAGAUCAUUUAGUCUUCUGUAGUUAAAGACCAUUCUUUCCUUUCCCCUUUUUUCCUGGCCAGUGACUGGGUCUACUGUUGUGCCAGAGUUGACUAUGAUUGUUGUUGUCAUGUACUUGCUUUUGUUUGGUCUGAUCACGCUAAUGUCCAGAAGUUCUUUGACAUGUUUAGAGAAGGAUUCUCUGGCGUGAGGCGUGAGGUGCUUUAAUGGCUUGUCCUCUAUUGUAACGUUUGAGUUUUUGAUUUCCAGUUCACACAUCAACCCGUUUUUCUUCUAGUGUUAAAGAGGAUUUUCACCAAUGUACCCUUGGGCCUUUAAUUUUUCGAUCAGGCUUCCAAACUGUGCUCUGAGUUUGUUUUCGUCCUUUUGAGGUUCGGUUGAGUAUAGAACCAACUCCUGAAUUUGGAUGUAGUCUUCUUCUUCUAGUUCCAGUUCUUCUAUUGCAGCUGUAACUUUAACAUAUGGGAGGGUGUUAAUAGUGGUCAGAUUCUUAUAGAAGGUUACCGUAUUUUCUUCAAUCCUGACUCCUCCUUGCAUGGCGCGGAUGAAAUUGCAUCCGAUUAUCAUAUGUAUGUCAUCCCCUAAUUUCAUAGGGAACGCAUAUGUGUAUGGGAUUCUGAAGGAGUUGUCACCUAUCAUCAUUCUUUCUCCUCUCAAUUUCUUAUAUGUUGUUGUCUUUGAUGUAAUCCCGCUGAAAUGUACCAGGUAGGGAUUCUUUUCCAGUGCUUCCCUAGGUAUCGUGCCUUCAUCUAUGCAGCAUGUGGUGGCCCCUGUGUCUAGAAUGGCAUUUACUUUGAUUAUAGGAGUAUUGGGUAUUUCAAGUUGUACCUUAAGGUUGAAUAGUAUAUUCUUUGCUUUUUCUGGUUUGACGGCUUCUUUCGUCUCGGCUGAUAGUAUUUGCUGAUUUUCCUCUAUUAGUAAGAUGUAGGUGCUUUCCUUUUCAACCUUUUCCUUUUGUUUUAGGAGAUUGAUCUCCUUUUGUAAGUCUGCCCUUUCCAUGCGGAGCCUGUCAAGUUCCAUAUUUUCUUGUUCCAGCUCUCGGUAUUUCCUUUUCAGUUCUUCUACUUCACGUUUUAGCUGGAGGUUUUCCUGGGCAAUUGUAAUGCCCUUUCCAUGCUACAGGGGUCUUUUUGUUGAAGUAGUAGAUGUUGCACAUCCCGCACGAGGUGAUUUCACACAGCGGGCAAUGUCGUCUGUGCCUUUGCUGUGAGAUUCUUUUACAGCAAUUGCACCUUUCCAGUCUUGCCAGUAGUUCCUCGUUUAUCCUCUAGAUGUGGCUGCACUCGGCCUAUUUUUGCGAGACUUGUAUUCUUGCUCUGUAUCCUGACUCUGGUCCAAUCCACCACGUCCUGCUAUCUUCAACAAGAGCAAAUAUCUUAUGGGUGAAGGAGUGUAUACCAUGUUGUAAUUCCUCUACGUCUUCUCCCUCAGAAAUUGAGUAGAUUACGUCACUUUGGUUUUCUCCUUCUUGGACAGAGAUGAUUUCAUAAUCCUUUGGAAGGUCUAAUUGUUCAAACAUUGCAACCCUCUUUAUGUUUUUGCAGUCGUUGGGGCAUUCCCUGGCGAAAUGUCCUUCCUCACCGCACAAAUAGCACUUGCACCUUUUGUUUCUUACCAGGUGCUUUCUUUUUUCUAUCCUUGCAUGUGAUGAGUGGGGCUUGCCUUUAUAUGUUUUGGAUCUCCUAACCCCGUAUUUCCUUUCGGGCUUGUUAUAAUACCCUGGGAUGGGUAUUUCACUACAGAAAGACAGGUCUUUGAGCGCCCUUUUGAAUGCGGCGUCCUUGCAUUAUGCUUCCAGAUAUUUGUAGGAAAAUAAGAUCCUGGGGAUUACCCCGAUCGUAUUGCCCCUGUAUUUGGAUUCAAAGGCGUCCUUUAUUCUCUUUCCUAAUUCUCCGGGCAUCUUGGACCAUAGUUUUUCAGAUAGCUCGGGGCUUGUGAACAGCCUUCCCGUUUUUUAGGCUAACCUCAUGUAGUCAUUCAGGAAUUGGAUAAUAUGUUUCAGGUUGUUGCACAAAAGCCUCUCUAGGUCUCUGUAGGCCUCUUCUUGCAUCCCGGUUGAUCCCUGAAAUGGGUCUUCAAGUAUGAAGAUUGUUCUUAAUUGAGAUAGGAUAUUUUGGGUACCUCCUGCUCCGUCGGCGUUUGCCAGUAGUAGUUGGUAUUCGUCAGGGUACGCCAUCCUCCAUUGGAUCUAGGCUAGCUUUUCAGAUUCACCGAACAGAUUUUCGAUAAAUUCCAUCUUUGCUUGGGAAUAUGUGAAUCCUUGGAGUGAGCCUAAAUUCUUAGUUAUUGACUCCCAUCUCAUAAAAACUUCAUCAAACAUCCCUAAUUGUGUAGGGAUAAUGAACAUGGCUCCCUGCUGUUGAAAUGCUGAGGGUAGGUUCCAUGCUUCAGAAAAAUCCUUUGUUUUGAAUUUGGCUUGCCUAGUGUAUCCUUCAAAGGUAGGCUUCUGGAUUGUUGAGUCUAUGUUAAUUGCGGGGGGGUAGUUUGCUGGCCCCAUAGUAGAGUCUGUAGGUGGUCUAUAGUUUGAUACGGCAGAGGAGGAAUAUACUUGUUGGGAGAGUUUGGCUAAUUGUGGGUAUUCCACUUCCCAAUUUUCCUCAAGUC
rnacentral:lncRNA from 1 species